AUACAUGCAAGUCGAGCGGACCGACGGGAGCUUGCUCCCUUAGGUCAGCGGCGGACGGCUGAGUAACACGUGGGUAACCUGCCUGUAAGACUGGGAUAACUCCGGGAAACCGGGGCUAAUACCGGAUGCUUGAUUGAACCGCAUGGUUCAAUCAUGAAAGGCGGCUUCGGCUGCCGUUUACAGAUGGACCCGCGGCGCAUUAGCUAGUUGGUGAGGUAACGGCUCACCAAGGCGACGAUGCGUAGCCGACCUGAGAGGGUGAUCGGCCACACUGGGACUGAGACACGGCCCAGACUCCUACGGGAGGCAGCAGUAGGGAAUCUUCCGCAAUGGACGAAAGUCUGACGGAGCAACGCCGCGUGAGUGAUGAAGGUUUUCGGAUCGUAAAGCUCUGUUGUUAGGGAAGAACAAGUACCGUUCGAAUAGGGCGGUACCUUGACGGUACCUAACCAGAAAGCCACGGCUAACUACGUGCCAGCAGCCGCGGUAAUACGUAGGUGGCAAGCGUUGUCCGGAAUUAUUGGGCGUAAAGCGCGCGCAGGCGGUUUCUUAAGUCUGAUGUGAAAGCCCCCGGCUCAACCGGGGAGGGUCAUUGGAAACUGGGGAACUUGAGUGCAGAAGAGGAGAGU
rnacentral:rRNA from 1 species